rnacentral:rRNA from 1 species
GACAGUAGCAAUAUUGUCUUAGUGGCGAACGGGUGAGUAACGCGUUGGUGACCUGCCUCGAAGAGAGGGAUAACAGUUCGAAAGGAUUGCUAAUACCUCAUGUGGUUGCUUGGGUUAGAGACCUUGCAACUAAACGGAUUUAUUCGCUUCGAGAGGGGCCUGCGUCCCAUCAGCUAGUUGGUAGGGUAAUGGCCUACCAAGGCGAUGACGGGUAGGGGACCUGAGAGGGUGGCCCCCCACAAUGGAACUGAAACACGGUCCAUACACCUACGGGUGGCAGCAGUAGGGAAUAUUGGUUAAUCUGGGAAACCGGGAACCAGCAACGCCGCGUGCGCGAUGAAGGCCUUCGGGUUGUAAAGCGCUUUUAGAGAGGAUGAGGAAGGACAGUACUCUCUGAAUAAGCCUCGGCUAACUACGUGCCAGCAGCCGCGGUAAAACGUAGGAGGCGAGCGUUAUCCGGAUUUACUGGGCGUAAAGCGCGUGUAGGCGGUUUGAUAAGUUGGAUGUGAAAGCUCCUGGCUUAACUGGGAGAGGUCGUUCAAAACUGUCAGACUUGAGAGUGGUAGAGGGAGGUGGAAUUCCGGGUGUAGUGGUGAAAUGCGUAGAUAUCCGGAGGAACACCAGUGGCGAAAGCGGCCUCCUGGACCAUUUCUGACGCUCAGACGCGAAAGCUAGGGUAGCAAACGGGAUUAGAGACCCCGGUAGUCCUAGCUGUAAACGAUGUGAACUUGGCGUCGGUGGGUUCAAAUCCAUCGGUGCCGAAGCUAACGCGAUAAGUUCACCGCCUGGGGACUAC